AUUGAACGCUGGCGGCAGGCCUAACACAUGCAAGUCGAACGGUAACAGGAAGCAGCUUGCUGCUUCGCUGACGAGUGGCGGACGGGUGAGUAAUGUCUGGGAAGCUGCCUGAUGGAGGGGGAUAACUACUGGAAACGGUAGCUAAUACCGCAUAAUGUCGCAAGACCAAAGAGGGGGACCUUCGGGCCUCUUGCCAUCGGAUGUGCCCAGAUGGGAUUAGCUUGUUGGUGGGGUAACGGCUCACCAAGGCGACGAUCCCUAGCUGGUCUGAGAGGAUGACCAGCCACACUGGGACUGAGACACGGUCCAGACUCCUACGGGAGGCAGCAGUGGGGAAUAUUGCACAAUGGGCGCAAGCCUGAUGCAGCCAUGCCGCGUGUAUGAAGAAGGCCUUCGGGUUGUAAAGUACUUUCAGCGGGGAGGAAGGGAGUAAAGUUAAUACCUUUGCUCAUUGACGCUACCCGCAGAAGAAGCACCGGCUAACUCCGUG
rnacentral:rRNA from 1 species